rnacentral:rRNA from 1 species
GACGAACGCUGGCGGCGUGCUUAACACAUGCAAGUCGAACGAAGUGGCGACCGGGUGAGUAAUACGUGGGUAACCUGCCCUCCUUUUUGGGAUAAGCCUUGGAAACGGGGUCUAAUACCGAAUAAAGGGGGAUGGGCUCGCGGCCUAUCAGCUUGUUGGUGGGGUGAUGGCCUACCAAGGCGGUGACGGGUAGCCGGCCUGAGAGGGGGAACGGCCACAUGGGGAAUGAGAUACGGCCCAGAGUCCUACGGGAGGCAGAAGUGGGGGAUAUGGCACAAUGGGAGAAAGCCGGAUGCAGCGAAGCCGCGUGGGGGAUGAAGGCUUUCGGGUUGUAAAACUCUUUAGCGAUAGAACGGGUAGGUGGAGAAGAAGCGCCGGCUAACUACGUGCCAGCAGCCGCGGUAAUUC